rnacentral:rRNA from 1 species
GUGAGGAAUAUUGCGCAAUGGAGGCAACUCUGACGCAGCCAUGCCGCGUGCAGGAAGAAGGCGCUACGCGUUGUAAACUGCUUUUAACCGGGAAGAAACCCCAGGACGUGUCCUGGGUUGACGGUACCGGAGGAAUAAGCACCGGCUAACUUCGUGCCAGCAGCCGCGGUAAUACGAAGGGUGCAAGCGUUAUCCGGAUUCAUUGGGUUUAAAGGGUGCGUAGGCGGAGCGUUAAGUCAGUGGUGAAAUCCUGCAGCUUAACUGUAGACUUGCCAUUGAUACUGGCGCUCUUGAGUGCGCUUGAAGUGGGCGGAAUGUGCCGUGUAGCGGUUAAAUGCUUAGAUAUGGCACAGAACACCAAUUGCGAAGGCAGCUCACUAAGGCGAUACUGACGCUGAGGCACGAAAGCGUGGGGAUCGAACAGGAUUAGAAACCCCUGUAGUCC